GGAUCUAGUAGUUAAAAGUGAACAAGCCUCCAGCCAGCCAAACCUAUUAGCACAACAUUGAAACUGUUAAAGAGCCAUUCAAGGGGUAAUGAAGCCGUUUAACAGGCAUUUGCCAAAUAUCAGGUCACUCAUUGAUGUGCUACACAUGCCAAGGGGAGACGUCUAACAAGUACUGUAUGAAGAUAUCUAUGUGCGCAAAAGAAGACAAUUAUUGUGUGACAAUCAAGGAUGUUGUAGGCGCUGGUUACAAAUCCGAGUACCGCAUCUCCAAGAUGUGCUCUCCGGAGUGUCCAAAAACGACCAUGAAGCAAGGCAAAACGGCUGCUAAAGUGUUUUGCUGCGAUAAACUAUUGUGCAAUGUGAAUGGAGCCAGCAGCAUGAAAACCAGCUCCUCGAUGAUUUCCAUGGGGAUCCUGGCUAACUUCAUCUACAUCUUCAGAUCCGGACUGUGAUGGGCCAGGAAAAGAAGACUUUAUGCCCUGAAGACCCUGCUCAGGCCCCACUGAGACACCAAAAGCCUACUCUGUGCAAAGCUUUCCUUUGGGCUAACACUUCCCCCUAUACUCUAAGCGUCACUUCAGACCCCCUGAGCAAAUAUCAUC